ensembl:snoRNA SNORD58 Small nucleolar RNA SNORD58
UUGAGGUGAUGACGUUUCUUAGGACACCUUUGGAUUAAAAAUGAAAACAACUACUCUCUCAGCAGC